ACUCCUACGGGAGGCAGCAGUGGGGAAUAUUGCACAAUGGGCGCAAGCCUGCAUGCAGCCAUGCCGCGUGUGUGAAGAAGGCCUUCGGGUUGUAAAGCACUUUCAGUAAGGAGGAAAGGUUAGUCACUAAUAUUGGCUAGCUGUGACGUUACUUACAGAAGAAGCACCGGCUAACUCCGUGCCAGCAGCCGCGGUAAUACGGAGGGUGCGAGCGUUAAUCGGAAUUACUGGGCGUAAAGCGUACGCAGGCGGUUUGUUAAGCGAGAUGUGAAAGCCCG
rnacentral:rRNA from 1 species